GAGUUUGAUCCUGGCUCAGGAUGAACGCUGGCGGCGUGCUUAACACAUGCAAGUCGAACGGGAAACAUUUCAUUGAGGCUUCGGCAGAUUUGGUCUGUUUCUAGUGGCGGACGGGUGAGUAACGCGUGGGUAACCUGCCUUAUACAGGGGGAUAACAACCAGAAAUGACUGCUAAUACCGCAUAAGCGCACAGGACCGCAUGGUCUGGUGUGAAAAACUCCGGUGGUAUAAGAUGGACCCGCGUUGGAUUAGCUAGUUGGCAGGGUAACGGCCUACCAAGGCGACGAUCCAUAGCCGGCCUGAGAGGGUGAACGGCCACAUUGGGACUGAGACACGGCCCAGACUCCUACGGGAGGCAGCAGUGGGGAAUAUUGCACAAUGGGGGAAACCCUGAUGCAGCGACGCCGCGUGAAGGAAGAAGUAUCUCGGUAUGUAAACUUCUAUCAGCAGGGAAGAUAGUGACGGUACCUGACUAAGAAGCCCCGGCUAACUACGUGCCAGCCGCCGCGGUAAUUC
rnacentral:rRNA from 1 species